rnacentral:misc_RNA from 1 species
UUUCCGUAGGUGAACCUGCGGAAGGAUCAUUAGUGAAUUGAAUAUGUUUGCGGACCUCUUCGUAGUCCCUAGCAUCAAAUCAUAUCCAUAACACCUUUGAGCUGUAAGGCUCUCUUGAUAACGAAAGUGAUUACAGCGUCUGCACAUUUUAUACAAAAAUUAAUAUAAACAACGUAGUCUUAUUAUAAACCAAUAAAACUUUCAACAACGGAUCUCUUGGCUCUC